rnacentral:rRNA from 1 species
UGGGGAAUAUUGGACAAUGGGGGAAACCCUGAUCCAGCGAUGCCGCGUGAGUGAAGAAGGCCUUCGGGUCGUAAAGCUCUUUAGGUCGGGAAGAAGUUUGGUCGAGGAAAUGCGAUCAAAUUGACGGUACCGACAGAAUAAGCACCGGCAAACUCUGUGCCAGCAGCCGCGGUAAUACAGAGGGUGCAAGCGUUAAUCGGAGUUACUGGGCGUAAAGGGCGCGUAGGCGGUGAGAUGUGUGUGAUGUGAAAGCCCCGGGCUUAACCUGGGAAGUGCAUCGCAAACUAUCUGACUGGAGUAGAUGAGAGGGUGGCGGAAUUUCCGGUGUAGCGGUGAAAUGCGUAGAGAUCGGAAGGAACGUCAAUGGCGAAGGCAGCCACCUGGCAUCAUACUGACGCUG